GAAACCAGACUGAAGUGGGUCUAGCAGAGAGUUGUACUCGAGCAAGUCUGUCAAUCUCGCAUACACAACUCUUUAACUCUUUCAAGGAUCUUGGAUGCAAAGGCAGUAGCGAGAUAGGACGGUAGUUGGAUGGGGAGUUAGGUUCAACGUUGGGUUUCUUUAGAAUUAGGGUUAUAGUUGCAUGUUUGAAGGGCGAUGGAAAUAUGCC